rnacentral:misc_RNA from 1 species
UCUCCGUUGGUGAACCAGCGGAGGGAUCAUUACUGGAAUCGCAAGAUCCCACAACCCUCGUGAACCUACCGAACGUUGCCUCGGCGGGCGCCCGGCCUCGCCCCGGGCGUCACGCCCGCCGGUGGCCCCCUACUCUGUCUCUGCCUCGUGUCAGCGCGAGAAACAAAAACAAAUAAAAAAUUCUAACAACGGAUCUCUUGGCUCUCGCCUCGAAGAAGAACGCAGCAGAGAGGAAGACCACACUGCACACCUCCAACCAACUCUUACCCAGUUGGAUGG